GAACGUUGUUCCAGUGGAAAGUGUCGAAUUUUUCCCCUCGCAGGGCAGAUUUCUCCAGGUCACUUGACUUUUCUUCUGGGAGUAGGAGUUAGGAGAGAUUCCCCUCUAACCCCCCAGAGGCUGCUAAGGGAGGAGGAGACUGUGGACAUGAGCCCUCCCUGCUCACAAGCAUAUGCCCGGAGACCUGAUAGGGCAGUUUCUGGGCCAUGGACAUUGCUUUGAAGAGGGGGAGACUGGACAGCAUCUGUGGGUGCUGAGACCCCACCUUAGGACCUGAGAGAUUGAACUGUGUAAGCGCC
rnacentral:lncRNA from 1 species